UGCUUUAUGCUCUUAAGGGUCUUUAUGGUCAUGGCUGUUUGGUGGACGUCUUUGUCCUUUUAAUACAGUAGAGUACACUAAGUAUGUGAGUAAACAUAGCACUAUUUACACAGUAGAGUAUACUACAUUGCUACAGUAGAGUAGAGUACACUAUUUACACAGUAGAGUAUACUACAUUGCUACAGUAGAGUAGAGUACACUAUUGUACACAGUAGAGUAUACUAUAUUGCUACAGUAGAGUAGAGUACACUAUUUUACACAGUAGAUUAUACUACAUUGAUACGGUCAUCUGGACCUUAUGAUGCCGGAACAGCAUCAGACUCAGGUUUGGGACCAACAGCAUGAUGCUCUUUAUACUCUGGAGGAGUGUGUGAGUCUGCUGGAGGAGUUUGAGAGAGCGCUGCAGGAGAAAGAUGUGCUCAUCUCUAAACUCCAGAACAGUGGAGCAGGGGACAGCACACACACUAUUCAACCAGAUGCUACUGAGUCUACAGAUGACAAAAACAAAAGGACGGUGGAGGUUCAGACUGAAGUGAAUCAGUUCAGUGGAGCUGCAAACACACACAGCAACCAGCAAG